ensembl:snRNA U7 U7 small nuclear RNA
CUUUUAGAAUUUGUCUAGCAGGUUUUCCAGUUUUUGCCGGAAAGCCCCU